GGGCGAAAGCCUGAUCCAGCCAUUCCGNGUGCAGGACGAAGGCCUUCGGGUUGUAAACUGCUUUUGUACGGAANGAAAAGGUCUCUAUUAAUACCAGGGGCUCAUGACGGUACCGUAAGAAUAAGCACCGGCUAACUACGUNCCAGCAGCCGCGGUAAUACGUAGGGNGCGAGCGUUAAUCGGAAUUACUGGGCGUAAAGCGUGCGCAGGCGGUCUUGUAAGACAGAUGUGAAAUCCCCGGGCUCAACCUGGGAACUGCAUUUGUGACUNCAAGGCUAGAGUGCGGCAGAGGGGGAUGGAAUUCCGCGUGUAGCAGUNAAAUGCGUAGAUAUGNGGAGGAACNCCGAUGGCGAAGGCAAUCCCCUGGNCCUGCACUGACGCUCAUGCANGAAAGCGUGGGGAGCAAACAGGAUUAGAUNCCCUGGUAGUCCACGCCCUAAACGAUGUCAACUGGUUGUUGGGUCUUCACUGACUCAGUAACG
rnacentral:rRNA from 1 species